GGAAAGUAAGCUGCUGAUUCUUUUUGGUAAGUAUUGAAGGUUUAUUAUAUACACGAAACUGAACUUUGCUUGGUACUAGAUUCCCGUUGAAAGCUGCUGGAGUGAUGCACACUGUUGCACUGCGAACAGAAGCCACCAUUACUACUAGUAGUGAAAUGCCAGCUAAUCUUGGCCAAGCCUUUAAGGUAAGCCGCACCAUUUGAGUAUUUAUAUCUAGGGGUGAGUCUUGCUUUACUCACAAGAAAAAUGUUAACAGAACCAUAUGAGUGAGAUGUUUGCAUACCAUGCAACCAUGAUGUCAAACACACUUGGAACUUCAACUGUUGUCUUCACAAGAAGUGGUUUCAUGGCCAUACUACUAAGUCACUAUCGCCCUUCCGGCACUAUCUAUGCUUUCACGAACGAGUGAGUAUUCCAUGUUUAUUCUUCCAGAUCAAAUGACUGUGGCAUCUGGUAAAUUUAAGAACUCAUGGUUAGAGAGGUUUUUGCUUCCGCAGGAAAAAAAUACAGCAAAGAUUAGCGUUGUAUCAAGGUGUAUGUCCCAUAUAUAUGGAGUUCUCAGAUGAUGCAGAAGAGACUUUCGCUAAUGCUUUGGCUACACUACUGGUAAAUUCAAAAGAGUCCCUUAGAAAGAAACUCAGUGUUAAAUAACUAGAUUAAACUCGGUAGACGUUGUGUGGUUGUGGGUAUAAAAGUUUGGUAACCUGUGGAUAAACAGAAACAAGGAAUGGUGAAGAAGGGAGAGGAAAUAGCGAUUGUGCAGAGCGGGUCACAACCAAUCUGGAGAUCUCAAUCGACUCAUAACAUUCAAGUCCGCAAGGUGUAAAAGCCUCUUAAGGCGUCUCAAUGUUUCACCUGGUCAGAGUGUUCUUUUAAUUUUUCUGUGAAACUGGUUUGCGGUUAAUUUUCUUUGCACGUCCUUGUAUUGUGUACUCUAAAACUUUCUGUUUACUGUUUCUUAUUCAGUUUGCUUUACCAUGAUUGUGUUUCUGGCAGACAUUUAUGGGAAGAUUUUAAUUUAGAUGAGUAAUAAAUGUUUUAGAAACGUCUAAAUACAAACCUAUAUUGUUUUAUUGUAAAUUUGAAGAUGCAACCAAGUGUGUAAGGACUAUUAAAGAUCAGAAAAUUAGGGGAAAAUUGACUUUUUAAUCCUAAACUUUAAAAAAUAAGCCAAAAAAAACCAUGAACUCCAAAAUACGUCAUUUAAAUCAUGAACUCUUAGUCAAACACGAAAAAAACAUGAACUAUCGUUGACCAAGCCCAUUUAACUCCAUAAUUAAUCAGCCGUUAAUUAAUAGCUAACAGACGUUAAAUGUCUAACCGUUGUCAUUUUGACAAAACGAAAUAACCCUACUCUAGACCCAAAAAUCCCUAAUUCAUCUCCCUCAAAUCUCUAAUUUUUCAUCUAUUUCUCUCUUCACAAAACACAGAGCUCAAUCUCAAACAUCUCUCUAACUCAUCUACUUCUUCAUAUCUUUCUCUAGCAUCAUGAACCGUGGAACAUAUCCAUGGAACACACACAUACACACUAUCAUACAGACAAUGAAAAUCAAUUGAAUAUUGUUGAGCGCAGUGGAAGAAGAACAAAAUAACAUACACCCGAAUCGGAAAUAGACCACCUGAUAAACACCAAACAAAUUAUGAGGGGGAAAUGCUGAGGAAGAAGCCCAAGUUCAUAUAGAAAUAAAC
rnacentral:lncRNA from 1 species